GGGCCUGUGGCUCAGUGAGUAGGGUACUGGCCCCAUAUACUGAGGGUGGUGGGUUCAAACCCACCUGGCCCC
rnacentral:tRNA from 1 species